CUACGGGUCGCAGCAGUAGGGAAUAUUGGUUAAUGGGCGAAAGCCUGAACCAGCAACGCCGCGUGCGCGAUGAAGGCCUUCGGGCUGUAAAGCGCUUUUUGAGGGGAUGAGAAAGGACAGUACCCUCAGAAUAAGUCUCGGCUAACUACGUGCCAGCAGCCGCGGUAAAACGUAGGAGGCGAGCGUUAUCCAGAUUUACUGGGCGUAAAGCGCGUGCAGGCGGUUCGGUAAGUUGGAUGUGAAAGCUCCUGGCUAAACUGGGAGAGGUCGUUCAAUACUGCCGGGCUAGAGGAUGGGAGAGGGAGGUGGAAUUCCGGGUGUAGUGGUGAAAUGCGUAGAUAUCCGGAGGAACACCAGUGGCGAAGGCGGCCUCCUGGCCCAUAUCUGACGCUCAGACGCGAAAGCUAGGGUAGCAAACGGGAUUAGAUACCCGGGUAGUC
rnacentral:rRNA from 1 species